rnacentral:rRNA from 1 species
AUGAACGCUGGCGGCGUGCCUAACACAUGCAAGUCGAACGGGACUAUCAAGUGAUGUUUCGGACUGAACUUUUAGUUAGUGGCGGACGGGUGAGUAACGCGUGGACAACCUGCCUCUCACUGGGGGAUAGCAGCUGGAAACGGCUGGUAAUACCGCAUGCGUUCAAUGUGCCGCAUGACACAUUGAAGAAAGAUUUAUCGGUGAGAGAUGGGUCCGCGUCUGAUUAGCCAGUUGGCGGGGUAACGGCCCACCAAAGCGACGAUCAGUAGCCGGCCUGAGAGGGCGGACGGCCACAUUGGGACUGAGACACGGCCCAGACUCCUACGGGAGGCAGCAGUGGGGGAUACUGCACAAUGGGCGCAAGCCUGAUGCAGCGACGCCGCGUGAGUGAAGAAGUAUUUCGGUAUGUAAAGCUCUAUCAGCAGGGAAGAAAGGCCCGCAAGGGAGAUGACGGUACCUGACUAAGAAGCCCCGGCUAACUACGUGCCAGCCGCCGC